UUUACCAGGGUGGUCAGGGCAGCUCUCUGGAAACACAGAAAGCCCAGUCUCCGGGCCUCACUCACAGACAGUCUCUUUAGCCCUCUGUGCCAAUAACCUGGACAUUUUGGACCUUACCAGAAACAGACGAGGCUCCAGUGUUUCCAUAGUGGUGUGUUUCAGCAGUGCAGAGGUCAGAGUCCACGCACCCGCACCCACGCAGCCGCAUGGCCACAUUUUGGUAUGCAGAUACACAGACGCAGGUCCUGAUAAGACUCCCCUGUGCAUCCCUCUGUGACAAGAAGAAGAUGUCCAGCAGAAUAAUGCAGAAUCGCAGCCUCCCCUCUAAAAGUGAAGGCGUGGAAAUGAAAGCUGGGCACUUUGGAGAGGAUGGCUGGAAGAAAUGAAGACGUGUCUGAUUUCCACAGCAACC